ACCGGAAGUCAAUGAAGCGGGUCUUUCCUACGCUAAAAACCACUGAGUGGAGUAUUUAGUACACAGGAAGUCGGCCAGAGAAACAUUUCUCAUAUUUGAAGGCCGGAAAGAGGGACAUUUCUGACACCGGAAGUCAGUGAGAGGACUCUUUCCCACACAGGAAGUCAGCUAGAGAGCCGUCUCCCCUCUCUGGAGCCGAGAGAGGCCGGUUUCCCCCACCGUAGCAGGGCUGGGAGAAAGGGAUGGGGAGAGUCCCUCCUGCCACUGACCCAGGAUGGAUAAAAGUACCCCUUUCAUAGAAGGAAGAAAAUGGGAACAAAGGUGCUGCUGAUCAUCUGAGGUUGCCUGCAUGGCAGUGAAGAACAUGGACCUUUGGGCUCUCAGGGUAAAGAAGGAAAUGAGAAAUUGCAAGACAGAGUAUUUCUUAGGCAAUGGCUGAGAAUGGCAACUCACCACAUGCCUUUGAAUAAGACGUGAUUAUUAUUAACCCAUAUUCUAUCAAAGAAGAAACUGAGGCUCAGAGAGGCAACUUACUUGCCAAAGGUCACUCUGCUGGGUAGCCCACCUGGGAGGAAUUUUCCAGAGAUCACUGUCUGAUGACCCUGUCUUGGAAUUGGAGCCAUGCAAGUUACACUGACCACGUUUGGGUUGGGAUAUUGAGGAGGUUAUGGUUAAAAGCAUACGAUGGGAGAUCAUAUUGUACUUGCGAGUGAGACCCGGCUGGAGGAAUGUUUUAAUUCUUCGGAAAUACCAAGUGGUCUCUGGAUGGGUUUUCACUAUUUUUCCCAGGCUAGUCUCCAACUUCUGGGCUCAAGCGAUCCACCCGCCUUGGCCUCCUAAGUCCUAGGAUUAUAGGUAUGAGCCACUGCGCCUGGCCUUUUUGCCUUUUGAAAGUAUCUGUUGUUAACAAUAUUCAAUUGGGUUGAAUCUUGCUAGGGACCAAGGUGAAUUUGCAUAAAUUAGUCUAUGCCAAUUUGCAUACUAUCAGCAAAUUUGUAGUGUACAGAAUUUUGGAAAGGGACCUUUGGCCAUGUCUUGAGAUGUUUUUGGUUGCCGUGAUUGAGGAGGUGCUACCAGCGUCUGCUGGGCAGAGACCAGGGAUGCUGCUCCACAUCCCACAAUGCACAGGACAAUCUUCUCUACAGCAAUGAAUUAUCCAGUUCACAAUCUCAAUAGCACCAAUAUUGAGAAACCCUGUUGAAGAUGGAGACUAUCCACGGGGCAUUGAUCUUGGGGUCUCCCCCUUCCUGAAUACUUGAAGUCCCUCGGCAGACUCUUGGAUACCUCCAGCAAUGGGGAGCUCACCACCUGUUUUGAAGCCAGGCAGGUUUGGGCUCUUCUUGUAGCUGUGUGACUCUGGAUUUUCCCAUAGGUGGGAGUGGAUCCACCACCUUGAGCUUCAGUUUCCUCCAGUGCCAUGGGAUUAGCAGCAGCCCUGCCUCACAGAUUGCGUGAGGAUGAAAUGAGAUGAUGCUCCUGAGUUGGCUGGUGCAGUGCACGGUACACAGAGAGUGCUCAAUAAAUGUUCCCUGCUGUGAAUCAGAACACUGAAGAUUCUGCUCUCAGGGUGUUGAUUGACGUCUGGAAGGCAGAGACUCGUGGAUUAGCAAGCAUGUGUAAGAAAGUGCUCUGGAUGCCACAGGGUGGUAAUUUGUGCAUGGAAAAUGGCUGGGGUGAAGAGGAGACUAGGGUUUAUCUUGUCAGGUGGUCUCUGUGGUUCCAGUACCCAUGAGGGAGCUGAGUCUGAAGGACCUUGGAGCUUUGCAGAUAUAAAGAAAAAGCUGAUUUAAGCUUCCCCAGUUUUCCCUGCCCCCUUCAUGAAAGAAUUACAGCAUAUAAUAAGAAAAAUCUGGAGAAACACUUAUUUUUAUGGAACAACAUCCAGAGGUGUCCAGAAAGAAGGUGGCCUUGACCAGAAUUCCUCAGCCUUGGCUGCACAUGAGAACCAGUGAGGGAGCCCUAAAAACGCUGAUGCCCAGGCUCCACCCAGACCUAUAGGUGCAGAACCUCUAGGGGAGGGCCCAGCCAUCGCGCUUUGAAAAAUCUCCUCAGGUACUCGGGAGGCUGAGGCAUGAGAAUCGCUUGAACCCGGGAGAUGGAGGUUGCACUGAGCCGAGACUCCAGCCUGGGCGACAGAGUGAGACCUCGUCUCAUCUCACAUGAGUACUUCACAAUGGGGAAACUGAACUGGAACUCUACUGACAACGCAGUUGGGAGUUCAAACUUAAUAACCUUCCAGAGUUGGUAUCAAAUUCAGACGCUGACGCUCCUUGGAGAGGUUCUUUGCUGCAAGAGGAUGGAAAGGAUCACUGUGAUUUUGUUUUUCUCCUGCUGCUCUGUCUGGAAGCCAUGUGAGGAGGACAUCUGAGCAGCCCUGUGGAGAGGCCCCCAGCCAACAGCCAGCAUGAACUUGCUGGGCAUGUGAGUGCACCACCUUGAAAGUAGAGCCUCAACCCCUGGUCAAGCCAUCAGGUAAGAUUGCAGCCCUGGCUUAUAUCUGACCACAACCUCAUGAGCAACCCAGAGAGCUCAAGCUGGCCUGUUGGAAGAUGACAGGCCAUAUGCAACAGACGUGAAGUGUCCCAGCUGAUCCCCUUCCAGAACACCCACCUUCCAGAUGACCACAGAUGCAAGGGUGAGCCAGCCAAUAGCUGCUGAGACAUUCCCAGAAAGACAGAACAUCCAGCUGACCCAUGGACUCAUGGGCGAUCAUGGAUAAAUGGAUAUUGUUUCAAGCUACUAGGUUUGGGGUUGGUUUGUUACGCAGCAAUAGCUAACAGCUACACCUCUAUUUUAAGGAGUUGUGAAGAUAAAUUGCAAAGGUACAGAAAAAUGAAUAGCUAUAAC
rnacentral:lncRNA from 1 species